rnacentral:lncRNA from 1 species
GUCUAUUUAAAUUGUUAUUGAGUGUGAAUUCACAUAGCUGAUGAGGUAUGCACAGCAUGACAUGCUUACUUGUUGGCGCUCUAAGUUUUGCUCCUAAGAAUAUUCAUGGCGUUCCCGUAGUUUCUUUUUGUUACCAUGGUUUUUCUUUUCAUUGAUUUUCUCCGAGAUUUUAACAUUUAUAAUUAUCUGCCGUCUUAUAAUAUAGAAAAGAAGAUGUGGUAUGAUUGCCAAUGAGACAAUAUGUUUUCAAUGUUAUUGUUACGGUUGAACUUAUAAAAACAGAGGUGAAAGAUACCAGAGGGAUAUUCAAAAUCAAAGAUGGAAAAUAAACUGACAACGCCAUGGUUUAAAACGUAAAGACAAACUGACAAAUAAUGGUACUCAUAACAUAACAUAGAAAACUAAAGACUAAGAAACACGAACCCUAUCAUAAAUUCAGAAAUUGGGGGUAAUCUGAGAUACUCCGGAAGGGUAAGCAGAUCCUGCUCUACAUAGAGUCGGAUUGCUCAUAUUAUUACAUAAAUAACUAUACGGACUACAUUUUCAGACGAGUGUCUCAGACACAAAAAAGUUCAAACAGUUAGAGAGAACGGCUGAAACGGAUACUACAUAAGAUUCAAGACGUUUUUUAACAGUCAUAAAUUUUAAGACACCCUCAUAUCCAUAUAAAUUUGAGAAUGGAAAUGGGAACCAACCCGACCAAAAAGCAGACCAAAUGGGUCUGUUUGUUGUUUAAAGAUUUUGUAAUAUUUCCGAUUGUGACUUUUUGACUGGAUGUAUAUUAUUAAAGUAUUUGGACAUAUUAUGAUUUUGAAUGUCUCUUAAUUAUGAAUAUAAAACUUCAAAACUUGACAUUAUAUUGUGUGGC